GACGAACGCUGGCGGCGUGCCUAAUACAUGCAAGUAGGACGCAGUUGCGAACGGGGGAGUAACGCGUAGGUAACUACCUAUUAGAGGGGGAUAACUAUUGGAAACGAUCGCUAAUAGCGCCUACUAGGAGAUGGACCUGCGUUGUUUUAGCUGGUAGGGAGGGGAAUGGCCUACCUAGGCAACGAUACAUAGCCUACCUGAGAUGGUGAACGGCCAAACUGGGACGGAGGAACGGCCCAGACUCCUUCGGGAGGCAGCAGUAGGGAAUCUUCGGCAAUGGGGGGAACCCUGACCGAGCACCGCCGCGUGAGUGAAGAAGGUUUUCGGAUCGUAAAGCUCUGUUGUUAAGGAAGCGGUACUUAACCAGAAAGGGACGGCUAACUACGUGCCAGCCGCCGCGGUAAUAC
rnacentral:rRNA from 1 species